GUGCUUGCUUCUGCAGCAUAUAUACUAAACUUGGAACGAUACAAAAAAGAUUAGCAUGGCCCCUGCACAAGGAUGACACGCACAUUUGUGAAGCAUUCUGUAUUUUUU
ensembl:snRNA Gm24655 U6 spliceosomal RNA